AUUUGCUUAGGGGCUGGAGAGAUGGCUCUGCGGUUAAGAGCACUGACUGCUCUUCCAGAGGACCCAGGUUCAGCUCCCAGCACCGACAUGGCAGCUCACGACUGUCUGUAAUUCCAGUUCCAGGGGACCUGACACCUUCACACAGAUACACAUGCAGGCAAAACACCAAUGAACAUUAAAAAAAAAAAAAAAAAAAAAGGUGGGGUGGUGGUGGCAUACGCCUUUAAUCCCAGCAGAUCUCUAUGAAUUUGAGACCAGCCUGGUCUACAGAGCAAGAUCCAGGACAAGCACCAAAACUACACACAGAAACCCUGUCUCGAAAAACCAAAACAACAAACAAAACACUAAAAGUAACACAUGCUCAUUGUAAGAGUUUAAACAGAGUAAAAACACACCUUGAAUGACACACCUCUUCUCAGGUGAUCAUCUAAGCAUUCUGGAUCAUAUAACCUUCACAUCUGUCUAUGCUCACACAUGGUCCGUAAUACUGAGUACUAUGGUAUCAUAGUAUGUAGACCUCUGUAACUUGUUCCUUCAACAUUGAUGGGCAGUGAAAUUAUUAAUGUAGUGAGUUACCUUAGGGUAGGAGAGGGAAACAUUAAAAUCUUAGAGGUGCUAUUACAUUACAAAACUAAAAUCCAACUUAAAGGUGGACACAACAUAUACCACUAAUCAAAGGCUGAAGCAGGAGGAUUUUGAGUUCAAGGCCAGCCUAGGUUACACAGAGAGUUCCAGGUUAGUCAGGGAUACACACACACACAGAGAGAGAGAGAGAGAGAGAGAGAGAGAGAGAGAGAAACCCUGUUCUUUGUUUUAGUGUGUGUGUGUUUGUGCAUGUAUAUGUGUAUUUUAAAGAGGUAUAAAAAAAAGACAGUUUUUUGCGGGUGGUGAUGGUGCACGCCUUUAAUCCCAGCACUCAGGAGGCAGUGGCAGGCGGAUCUCUGUGAUUUUGAGGCCUGCCUGGUCUACAGAGUGAGUUCCAGGACAGCCAGGACUGCUUCACAGAGAAACCUUGUCUCUAAAAAUAAAAAAUAAAAAAUGCAGUUUUCUGACUUUAGUCUCAAAUUUUAAUCCGUAUACAUAAAACUUUGUAAUCUACUCUCUAUUAGAAAAAAAAAAAAAAACCAUUCCCAUACUGUUUACUGAGAAAACAAAAGACAACCCUAACAAGCUGUUCAGUGAACUAAAAUGUUCAUUCUUUUCUCUCUUUCUUUUUCUUAAAGACAGGGUCUCUCUAUUCAGCCCUGGCUGUUCUGGCACUUGUUCUGUAGACCAGCCUGGCCUUGAACUCACAGAGAUUCUUACUUCUCCCUUCAGAGUACUGAGACUAAAGGUGUGAGCCACAUUCUGCCAAAAUGUAGUACUAUUAAAACAUUUCUAUCUCGGCAGUAGUUAUCAAGAGAGUAUUGAGUACACUCAUCUCUCCUUGCUUCUAUCUGUCCUCACAGAUCAACUCUAGGUCACACACCCUGUCGCUCCAUGCUAUCCUGCUACAUACAGGCUCAUGCUACCUCCCUAUUUCCCUACCUAAAUGUCAACAGAGUUCCCAGGAAGAGAUGGGGCCUGUGGAGUGGAGAAGCCACUGUGUCUCCUGGAAACCAAAUCAAGUGUUUCAAGAAGCUAUCACCGGAAGAUCACAUUCAUCACAGCUGGCAGUUGGUCUGGGACAGAAAGCAAAACCUUCUAGUUGCAUUCGAAGGUCUACACCCAGGAAAGUACUCCAGCAGUAAGGAGGCAGCAAUCCAGUACAUCUUACACCAUAACUACAAAUUACUUUGAAAGUGCUUACCAGUUUAUUUUAAAAGUAAAAAAUGGUCACGAAACACACCAA